rnacentral:rRNA from 1 species
UACAGAGGUCUCAAGCGUUGCUCGGAAUCACUGGGCGUAAAGGGUGCGUAGGCGGGUCUUUAAGUCAGGGGUGAAAUCCUGGAGCCCAACUCCAGAACUGCCUUUGAUACUGAGGAUCUUGAGUUCGGGAGAGGUGAGUGGAACUGCGAGUGUAGAGGUGAAAUUCGUAGAUAUUCGCAAGAACACCAGUGGCGAAGGCGGCUCACUGGCCCGAUACUGACGCUGAGGCACGAAAGCGUGGGGAGCAAACAGG